AUUGAACGCUGGCGGCAUGCCUUACACAUGCAAGUCGAACGGCAGCACGGGAGCUUGCUCCUGGUGGCGAGUGGCGAACGGGUGAGCAAUACAUCGGAACGUACCCUGAAGUGGGGGAUAACGUAGCGAAAGUUACGCUAAUACCGCAUAUUCUGUGAGCAGGAAAGCAGGGGAUCGCAAGACCUUGCGCUCUGGGAGCGGCCGAUGUCGGAUUAGCUAGUUGGUGGGGUAAAGGCCUACCAAGGCGACGAUCCGUAGCGGGUCUGAGAGGAUGAUCCGCCACACUGGGACUGAGACACGGCCCAGACUCCUACGGGAGGCAGCAGUGGGGAAUUUUGGACAAUGGGCG
rnacentral:rRNA from 1 species